rnacentral:tRNA from 2 species
AGGCCAUUAGUUUAAAAAAAACAUUUGAUUUCGGCUCAAAAGCUUCUGGUUCAAGUCCAUAAUGACCUA